UACGUAGGGUGCAAGCGUUGUCCGGAAUUAUUGGGCGUAAAGAGCUCGUAGGCGGUUUGUCGCGUCUGCUGUGAAAUCUGGGGGCUCAACCCCCAGCCUGCAGUGGGUACGGGCAGACUAGAGUGCGGUAGGGGAGAUUGGAAUUCCUGGUGUAGCGGUGGAAUGCGCAGAUAUCAGGAGGAACACCGGUGGCGAAGGCGGGUCUCUGGGCCGAUAUUGACGCUGAGGAGCGAAAGCGUGGGGAGCGAACAGG
rnacentral:rRNA from 1 species